UACGAAGGGUGCAAGCGUUAAUCGGAAUUACUGGGCGUAAAGGGCGCGUAGGCGGUACUUCAAGUCAGGCGUGAAAGCCCCGGGCUCAACCUGGGAACCGCGCUUGAGACUGGAGAACUAGAGUUCGGGAGAGGAUAGUGGAAUUCCCAGUGUAGAGGUGAAAUUCGUAGAUAUUGGGAAGAACACCGAUGGCGAAGGCAGCCAUCUGGACCGACACUGACGCUGAGGCGCGAAAGCGUGGGGAGCAAACAGG
rnacentral:rRNA from 1 species